CUGAGACUUUUCUCAGAAAGCAACUCUGGGUCUAUUAAAAUGCUGCAAAACCAGAAAGGAUGAUGAUUUGUCAUGUAAAAAUGUAAGGGCAGCAAUUAGGAGAGUAGAGGCUCAUCAACUGAGUUCUUUCCAGAGAGGGACCUUGUAAGGCUGACUUUGGAAUAUGACUGCAUUCUGCUGAUUGUAAAGGAGGAAAAGGAUUCUCACAUGACAAUGAAGAGACUGAAGAAGUAUCAUCAAUGGAUAAAGCAGAAUAGAAAUAGCAGCCGCCUGGACCAUACCUAGAAAGGAAUCAUUUUGCCUGGCAGAAGCAUGAAACAGUUCCAUAUUUGAGAUGGCAUUUACCACUGAGGGAAAAAAAAAGUAUCAUGUGAAAGAAGCAAGAAUUGGACUGACCACACACUUGUCAUUGCCAAUCAGAUGCUGCAAAACAAUGGAUCUGUUUUUCAGAGUUCUGAAAUAAAAUGCUAAUCAAACUAGAAUCUGCUUAGCUAAGACACUGCCAAAUAUGAAGACCAAAUAAAAGAUUUUCAGAUGUGUCAUAAUUCAGAGUUUAUACUCCAAGCAUUCUUUUGUAGAAAGGAACUCAAGGGUGUAUUUCAGCAAAAUAAAGAAGUAAAGUACUAGAGCCAUCACUCAGAGAGCAAAUGACCAGACCAGAUGCUAACAACAAACAUUGUGUGACUUCCUAUCUCCAGCCACUUCUGAAGUCAGAUCUAUUUUCUUGAGUUGGAGGGCGGUGGCACGGUAUUGGCUCACUGCAACCUCCGUCUCCCAGGUUCAAGUGAUUCUCCUGCCUCAGCCUCCCAAGUAGCUGGGACUACAGGCAAGCACCACCAUGCCCAG
rnacentral:lncRNA from 1 species